UGGGGAAUUUUGGACAAUGGGCGAAAGCCUGAUCCAGCAAUGCCGCGUGUGUGAAGAAGGCCUUCGGGUUGUAAAGCACUUUUGUCCGGAAAGAAAUCCUUGGCUCUAAUACAGUCGGGGGAUGACGGUACCGGAAGAAUAAGCACCGGCUAACUACGUGCCAGCAGCCGCGGUAAUACGUAGGGUGCAAGCGUUAAUCGGAAUUACUGGGCGUAAAGCGUGCGCAGGCGGUUUGCUAAGACCGAUGUGAAAUCCCCGGGCUCAACCUGGGAACUGCAUUGGUGACUGGCAGGCUAGAGUAUGGCAGAGGGGGGUAGAAUUCCACGUGUAGCAGUGAAAUGCGUAGAGAUGUGGAGGAAUACCGAUGGCGAAGGCAGCCCCCUGGGCCAAUACUGACGCUCAUGCACGAAAGCGUGGGGAGCAAACAGGAUUAGAUACCCUGGUAGUCCACGCCCUAAAACGAUGUCAACUAGUUGUUGGGGAUUCAUUUCCUUAGUAACGUAGCUAACGCGUGAAGUUGACCGCCUGGGGGAGUACGGUCGCAAGAUUAAAACUUAAAGGAAUUGACGGGGUCAUAGCUGUUUCCU
rnacentral:rRNA from 1 species